UAUUUUAUAGUUUAAAUUAAAAUAUUAAAUUGCAAGUUUAAAGUAAUUUUUAAAAAAAAAUUAAAAUAU
rnacentral:tRNA from 2 species